rnacentral:rRNA from 1 species
AAGGUCCGGAGCCGAAGGGAAACCAAGUCUGAAUAGGGCGCAUAGUCAGUCGGAGUAGACCCGAAACCGGGUGAUCUAUCCAUGUCCAGGUUGAAGUUGCCGUAAAAGGCAAUGGAGGACCGAACCCACAUCCGUUGAAAAGGGUGGGGAUGAGGUGUGGAUAGGGGAGAAAUUCCAAUCGAACCCGGAGAUAGCUGGUUCUCCUCGAAAUAGCUUUAGGGCUAGCCUCAUACGAGUCUUGCGGAGGUAGAGCACUGAAUUCCUAAGGGGGCGUCAAAGCUUACUAAGGGAUAUCAAACUCCGAAUGCCGUGUAGAUGAUGUAUGGGAGUCAGACGAUCCGAGAUAAGUUGGGUGGUCAAAAGGGAAAGAGCCCAGACCAACAGCUAAGGCCCCAAAAUGUGUGUUAAGUGGAAAAGGAUGUGGGAUUUCGAAGACAACUAGGAUGUUGGCUCAGAAGCAGCCAUUCAUUCAAAGAGUGCGUAAUAGCUCACUAGUCGAGAGGUCCUGCGCCGAAAAUGUCCGGGGCUAAAACACACUGCCGAAGCUUUGGAAUUGAGAAUUCAAUUGGUAGAGGAGCAUUCUUAAAGGGACGAAGCAGUACCGUAAGGAGCUGUGGACUUUUAAGAAGAGAGAAUGCCGGAAUGAGUAGCGAGAGGAAGGUGGGAAUCCUUCCGGCCGAAUAUCUAAGGUUUCCAGAGUAAAGCUGAUCUGCUCUGGGUAAGUCGGGGCCUAAGGCGAGGUCGAAAGACGUAGUCGAUGGAUAACAGGUUGAAAUUCCUGUACUAUCCUGUAACAGAACUGUGGGGACACAGGCAGAGAGCGUGAGCCGGGAAUGGAAAGACCGGUACAAGCGAGGUAGGAGAAGAGUUGGCAAAUCCGCUCUUUAAUCUGAAGACGUGAUGUGGACUGAAAAUAAGUAGGGAAGCACGUGAGCUGACUGUCAAGAAAAGCCGCUAUUGUUUGCAGGAUACCCGUACCGUAAACCGACACAGGUGGAUGAGGAGAGAAUCCUAAGGCCGACGGGAGAAGCAUUGUUAAGGAACUCGGCAAAAUGACUCCGUAACUUCGGGAGAAGGAGUGCCAGUAAGAUGGCCGCAGAGAAUUGGCCCAAGCAACUGUUUAGCAAAAACACAGGUCUAUGCAAAACCGAAAGGUGAGGUAUAUGCUGACGCCUGCCCGGUGCUGGAAGGUUAAGGGGAGAGGUUAGCGCAAGCGAAGCUUUGAACUUAAGCCCCAGUAAACGGCGGCCGUAACUAUAACGGUCCUAAGGUAGCGAAAUUCCUUGUCGGGUAAGUUCCGACCCGCACGAAAGGCGUAAUGAUUUGGGCACUGUCUCAACAAUGCACCCGGUGAAAUUGAAAUACCAGUGAAGAUGCUGGUUACCUGCGCCAGGACGGAAAGACCCCAUGGAGCUUUACUCCAGCUUGAUACUGGGAUUCGGUAUUGCAUGUACAGGAUAGGUGGGAGGCUAAGAAGUGGUAACGCCAGUUGCCAUGGAGCC